CUCUUCCCUCCCAUCCUCCCUCCCGCUUUCGCUUCUCUUCUCUCCUUUCCUCUCCCUCCCUCAUUUCCUUUCAGCCCUCACCUUCCUCACUGCACUUCCCCAUCCAACUCAGCUGACGCAUUCUCAGGUCAGUAGAGGGUUUUCUUUCACUCCAUGUUUUUAUUGCAAUGAUCAUUCUUAAUGAACAGAAACCUGUUUCAGACCAUGUGGAUGCCACCUCAUGACCAACUGCUGCCCCAUGGCUCCAUGUCCACUCAGUGUCCUCACGGUGCAGGUGCCCAGCAGUAUGGCUGUGACCAGGGGCAGCAACAUGGGAGAGGUAUCCCAGCCAAGAGGCCCUGCAAAGCCUCCCCAGCAAACCGGAGCAAGGCCCAGGGCGGUAGGGAGAGCACCGUGUUCAUGAUGUAGGCAGUUCGGCUUCCGCAAACUGUCCAUCGACUGCAAAUUACUUUCUUUCCAUGGUUACAAAAGAACCAUAAGCAUUCUGAAAUAUGUUCUUGGUUUCAUGUUUGUGAAAUCUAAGCAACAUAAUAAUAAAAAUCACCGAAUUCUGCCAGAGGCUCUAGGGGUGUUUUCCUCUCUGAAAGGAGCCCCUUCCGGGACUGGGGAUUGAGUGACAGCCUUCAAUCACAGUUAUCCUGGUGGUAACAGGGAACUCCUCAGCCUGCCGGGAGCUGGGGCCCUCGAUAGCCUCACAGCUCCACACGCCAGUGUUCUAAGGAUCACACGCGUGCACAUGGCAAAGCUUGCUGCACACACGUCAGGUGCUAACAAGCCCCAAAUGUCUCACUCAUACUUGCUACCACAUCUCUUCUCUCAGCCUCCACGGCGUUUCACGCUCUGCCUUUAUAUAGAGAUGAACCGCGCAUCCUGAGCGCCACCGAAAUUCACCUCCUUCUGGGCAGAGGGUUGCAUCUUUCCAUCACGGGGGCCUCACUUUCCAUCAGCUGGUACAGAGUUUGCAGAGUGGGCGAGUCUAACGUUGAUACUUUCUCAAUAUUCCCUUCACACCCCUCCAAAAACAAGAGUACUGCCAGCUUCUUACCGAGGUUGUAAUGAGAAAAAUAUUUUUCUCUUGUGAAGAACGUGACUCUGUAUGUACACUGUUAGCACCCACACCGUGAACAUUCUGCUCUCCCGUGACUGUAUUCACAGGUCACAAGGACAAAACUUCUCCAUAGUAGCCAAAAAAAAAAAAAAA
rnacentral:lncRNA from 1 species